UUUCAUAUGCCUUCUUGCUUCAGCUGCCACAUCCCAUUCCCUGGCAGCAGCAUGAAUGUUUGCUAAGUGAAUGUGCCGGCCACCAUGAUCAGGGUCUACUUCAAUUAGGAAUUUCCCUAUCUGUUUACCUAACUCUAUAUUUCCAUGAAUGCGACAGGCAUUUAGCAGUGCCCCCCAUAUGACAGCAUUUGGUUUUACUGGCAUUCGCUCUAUCAGAUCUUUUGCUUCCUUCAGCAAUCCUGCUCGGCCCAAUAGAUCAACCAUGCAUCCAUAGUGCUCUACUGUUGGGAUCAAGCUAUAUACUUUCUCCAUGCUGUCAAAUAGUGAUUUUCCUUCGUCAACUAAUCCUGCAUAACUGCAUGCAGUCAAAAUUGCAGUAAAAGUUAUCAGGUUUGGCUUAAUUCCUGCUUUUAGCAUUUGCAUAAACCAGUAUAGGGCUUCUCUUCCAUGCCCGUGAAUUGCAAAACUAUAAAUGAUUGCAGUCCACACAGAGACACUUUUCUUCCCUAUUUUCUUAAACACUUCCGGAGCUUCUUUGAUACUACCACACUUUGCAUACAUGUCUAUAAGAACACAGCCUAAAAUUGGGUCUACUUGGAUUCCAUUCUUGUUGAUGUAUGCAUGAAUCCAUCUCCCUUGAUCCAAGGCUCCAAAAUUUGCACAUGCUGAAAGUACACUUGCCAGCUCUACUUUGUCAGGUUUGACACCUGCAAUCUGCAUUUCUUGAAAUAGGUGCAGGGCAUCUUUGUCAAGUCCUGCCUGGACAUAGCCAGAAAUCAUUAUUGUAUAUGAAAUGGCAUUUCUUGCUGGCAUAUCUCUGAAAAUUUGAUUGGCUAUUUCAAUGUACCCAUGUUUCAUAUAUCCAUCAAUCAUCGAGUUCCAAGAGACAACGUCUGGUUGUGGGAUCCGAUCAAAGAGGACUUGUGCAGAUUUUAUGAAACCAGAUGUGACAUAUGCAUGAAGAAGGGAAUUUGUAGCAUAAACGUCUGAACCAAAACCCAAUUUUAUCAUGUGAGCAUGAAUUUGUUGGGUCUCUUUCAAGGCUGACAGAGUGGAACAGGCUUUGAGCAGGAAGGGAAAGGUGUAAGCAUUGUGCGGAACUGAAUCACAGAGCAUUUGAUGAUACAGAAUCAAUGCUUGCUCUGGUUUAGUGCUGUCAGCGUAUCCUCGGAUCAUCGUGUUCCACAUGAAAGUGUUGGGUCUGCAGAUUCUGUCAAAAACCUUGUGGGCAUAGGGUAAGUUCCCUGAAUAUGGGGAGCAAGAAAAAGCUAGUAGCUUACUUACUGAGAUGGUCUCUAAGAUAAGGCCUGUUUUGAACAUAUAGGCAUGGAUUUGCUUUAAUUCCUCCAUACUUGAACAUCUUUCAAGCAGAGAUUGAGGCUUUGACAUACUUGAGUCUAAGGUGAAAUGGCAUGUUGUAGCAAGCGAUGACAUUGAGUUGCUAAACUAUUUAGAAAGAUUUUGUGAAUGUUUCCGGUGAAGAUUUUUAGGACUGCUGCUGCUGCAUCUGUGACUUGAAGGAUUUUUUUAUUAUUAUUAUUAUUUUGUUUUUUCUCAUCUACUGGUCCUUUUGAAAGAUGCUGCUAUCAUCUACCUUUUUUGGAGGUGUAAUUAGAGAGCAUCAGAAGCUGAAUGAUUAUUGGUUUUGGGUUUAUUUUUUUUAAUUAUAUUUUAAAUUCCUGGAAGUAGUUAACUAUGUUGGUAAAACUAAAGAAAUGAAUAUUCUGAC
rnacentral:misc_RNA from 1 species